AAGGGAUUAUCAGCUGCCAAAAAACCGUGACUUCAUUAGCGUAGUGAUUAUGACUUAAGGUUUCAGAAUUCCAGGUUUCAAUGGCAACAAUAGCCAAUCAUUAAUAAAAUAAAAUAAAAGGCAGUAGGUAGUUAUUGGAAACACGGAUAUCAGCGUGAUUAUUGUCCACAAUCUAUUUAUUCUCUAUCCAUCUUCUUUAUUUGUUUUGCAAAGGGCAGGACCAGGUUGAGAUUUCCAAAAACAGAAAACAUGGGGAUUGAUUUUUAGUAAUCUGAAUGAUUUAAAACAAUUAGAUUGUGUAGCCCGAUUCAAAGGGUUGCUGCUUUGUUUUGGGAACAGAAGAACUUGUGCUCCCUUCUUAAUCUAACACCUGAUCACAAUGUAUGUUGUCAUCUCUCUGGAUUAUUUUGCAACUAUAAUGGUGGCCUGGUUUUACAAAAAGCAAACUAAUAAAGUAAAAGAAGAAAAAGAAGAAGAAAACAGCAAUGUGCAAAGAGAAAGAAAUAGAAAGAAGAAGCUUCUAAUUUCCUUUGCAGCAAAUAUAAGUGCAAUUACAGAAUUAUCCCUUACUCUGU